UCCGUAGGUGGAUAAUUAAGUCAGAGGUGAAAUCCUGCAGCUCAACUGUAGAAUUGCCUUUGAUACUGGUUAUCUUGAGUCAUUAUGAAGUGGUUAGAAUGUGUAGUGUAGCGGUGAAAUGCAUAGAUAUUACACAGAAUACCGAUUGCGAAGGCAGAUCACUAAUAAUGUACUGACACUGAUGGACGAAAGCGUGGAGAGCGAACAGGAUUAGAUACCCUGGUAGUCC
rnacentral:rRNA from 1 species